UACGAAGGGGGCUAGCGUUGCUCGGAAUCACUGGGCGUAAAGGGUGCGUAGGCGGGUCUUUAAGUCAGGGGUGAAAUCCUGGAGCUCAACUCCAGAACUGCCUUUGAUACUGGCGUGCUUGAGGACUGGAGAGGAGAUCGGAAUUUACGGUGUAGCAGUGAAAUGCGUAGAUAUCGUAAGGAAGACCAGUGGCGAAGGCGGAUCUCUGGACAGUUACUGACACUGAGGCACGAAGGCCAGGGGAGCAAACGGG
rnacentral:rRNA from 1 species